UUUCCUUCUAUUCAUGUUUUCAUCACUCUAAGGAUCAUAAACACCGAUAUAAACCAACUAAUUACAGAGACUCCUCUUUUUAUACUAGGGUAUAUGUUUUGUGAUUAAAUAUAGAUUCUUUUUCCCAGUUCCGGGCACAAUAUAUUAGAAUUCAAAUGCAUAGGCACUAACCUAUCCUCUUAGUUCUGCAUAGUAAACAAAACCAAACACUCCUAAAGUAAUCUUGUUAGCCAACCUGAAGUUGCAGCUCAGCGCGCUUUUUGCGGGCUCCAUCCGGGCUCUGGAGGAGUUCUAAGAGGCGGUGAAGCUGAGCUGGUUGCGGCAGGGUGGCCUUCAUGGAUGGUUCGAGAUGAUGGUGGAGCUUUCAGGGGAUGGGUGCCUAGAAAAGAGCAUUCUUUUCACUUUACAGAGAAAAUUGGUGAAGGGGAAUACAACACAGUCUACCGGGGAUAUAGAGCAAAGGAAGAUUGUCGCCUUGAAGAAAAUAAAAUUUAACUAUCUAGAGGCUGGAAAUAUCCGCUUCAUGGCAAGGGAGAUCAACAUCUUGAGUAGGCUAAGCCAUCAGAACACGAUAUUUCUUCCUUGUUCUUGAGUAUAUGGAACACGAUCUUGCAGGACUUGCUUCCCGGCCUGGUCUAAAGUUCACAGAGCCUCAGAUCAAAUGUUACAUGAAGCAACUGUUAUGUGGCUGUCACUAUUGUCAUGGUCAGGGCAUAUUGCAUCGGGAUGUUAAAGGUUCCAACCUUUUGCUAGACCACAAUGGACAAUAAAAGAUAGCAGACUUUGGUUUGGCAAACUAUUGCGAUCUAGAGCAAUUUCGCCCACUUACAAAUCAUGAAUGAUGCCCUUUGUUACCGCCCACCUGAGCUCUUGCUUGGUGCCAAUUCUUAUGGCACUGCUAGAUAUGUGGAGUUCUGGGUUGUAUUCUUGCUGAGUUAUAUGCAGGACAACCUAUUUUUCCCUGGAGAAACGGAGGAGAUGUGAUGUCUUUAGUGAACUGUCUCAGUCUUACAAAUCUAAAUGUUUCUUAGACUAACCUAGCUGGGGUAUUUCUCAAGGAAAGAAUUUCUUGGGCUUUUCAUCACAUAGGUAACUUAAGUUUGGUUUUGUAAAUGUGUCAAACUAGACAUGAACAGCAUCCUGAAGGAGUUGUCAUAUUAGAAAAUUUUCAACAUUGAAGGUGUUCUGAAAUUUAAUUGUUAUGUAAUAUUGAUCGCACUUUCUGAGGAAAUCCACAAAUCUAUGGCUAUUGGCUCAGUUCUCCUUGUCAUGCACGACCUCCUGGGCGUGGUAAGCAUAGUGUAGAUAUCGGCAGCGGCAAAGUCAAAGUACACUUCGACAGACGGCUAAGAACUGGAUAAUUCAAAUCUGUGGUUUCUCAAUGGUGCUUGCUGGUAUAUGAUCUCUGUACAUGUUUUUUGUUGUAAGAUUGUUAACAGGGAUUAGGAAGGAUUAUCCAAAAUAAUAUAAAGAAUAAAAAGAGAAAAAUGAUACAAUAAAAGGAAAUGAAAUUCAAGAAAUAGAGAGCAGCAACGACAAAAACAGCUGAUUCAUAAACUUCUCUUCUUCAAUUAAAAUCCCAUUCUCACUUUUCUUUUAUCUCCAUUGCUCUAAAUUAUUCCCCACUUAGUAAGCACUCUCACUCCCCUCUUGAAUGUAUAGCUGUGUGUAUCGUUGUUGUAAUUCAUGGUGUUUGUUUGUACUGGUGUGUGUGUGUUUUUAUCUUGCUGGUUCUCAUUUCUAAUAGUUCAGGUCUUCAUGUCAGCUGUUUUUGAUUCAUCGAAUGUAUAUGUGUUUAUGUGUAUUAAUUAUAAUUCACUCAUGGGGUCUGAUUUUGAUGGAUUUGGGGUUUCUGAUUUGAUUGUAAUCAAGGGUUUUUACAUUGAUGUUUAACUUCAUUUUCGGUGAUUAUUAGUUGAUGGGGUUUAUUUAUGUGCAUAUAUCUAUAUCAAUGCGCGUGUAAAUUGUAAUUACCUCUUGUGUUUUCGGGUUUCGUAAAUUGUACUUGGUUUGAGCUUAGUUUGCGUUUCGGUUUUACAGGUCUGCUUGUUUUAUUUAUGAUUUAUUUGUUGUUUAAGUUUAUGAUUUUUUGAUUUUACGUGUUUUUUUAUUUUGUUCUGCAAUUUAGACUAUGAAGUCUUACAUAUAGAUUUAAACUUUGAAUGGUACUGUACAAGACGUAGAACAAGGAAUUGCGAUGUUAUGCCCGCACAUAGCUCAUGAAAUGAAAGGGGGUGGAUACCACCCCAUUUCUCUGCCUUCCAGAGUUAAACAUAACUCUUUGAGUUUCAUAGACUACCCACAAGCUCUAACAAGGUUAGACUUAUCUUUACUUUUGCUUGUUGUCAGCAUGAUGCUGGCAAUUCGGUACACGACACGAAAACACGACACGAACACGACACGAAAAGUUUGGGUUUGGUUUUCAAUAUUCGGUACACGAACACGAAAAAUAAAUGUUACUAUUAGUGUCGGGUUCGGUUUUUAAUAUAAGUACACGAACGACACGAAAGUACACGAAAUAAAUAAAUAAAUAUAAAUUAAAAAAUAUAUUAUACUUAUUUAUAUAUAUUGUUUAAUCAAUUUCAGUUAUGUUAUUUCAUUUCUGUUAUCUUAUGCAUUUAUUAUAUGUCUAAUCUAUUGUUUGUCACAGAAAAAUCGUAAAAAUAAUAGAUUUAUUGUGAAAUUCGUGUACUUUCGUGUACAAAUGUGUAUUUCGUGUACAUUUCAUCCGGACUGUUCGUGGUACACGGAAGGUACACGAAAUUUUUCGUGUACUUACGUGUACGGUUCGUGUUGACACGAAAUAAUUCGGUUCGUGUACGUGUUCCAGAACUGGUACACGAAACCGAAACAGUUUGGGUUCGGGUUUGGGUUCAAGUACACGAAAACACGAAAGUACACGACACGAACUGUUUGCCAGGUCUCAUAUUAAGCCCUAUGUGUAUGUUUAUAAAUAUUGCCACUUGAAGAGACAUUAAUUAAACAUUAGAAUUUAAUCUACAAAUUGCUUAAAAUGAAUAAAAAGGCUUUAUAUAAAUUACAGGCUGAUUCAAAACCAUUGUCUGAGAAAUAAGGAACCAAGUGUAUAUUAUCUUGUAUUCUGUUGCAAGGAAUUCAAUUGGGAGGAAAAGGGUGUAGAAUAAAUAAAAAUAUUAAUACCAAUGUGGAGAUUUAUACAUGAUACUGAUUCCUUCCUCAAUUCUACUUUACAUAUAUGAACUAGAUUUCAAUCUCAUCAUUCUAACAUGCUCAAAUCUCAUCGUAGAAAGAAGUUAGCAACACACAGUUUUUUCUUUUUAAUGCUAACCACGUUCUAAACUUUUUACUUGCACUUGUUAUAUGUUUCUCUUCCAUCUAAAUUGUAUUUGCAUUAUAUUGUAUUUUAUUAUUCAGUUGCAUUAUCCUGAAAUUAACCUUAGUGUAAUACAACGUAUUUUAUAAUUAACAUCUUUUUGUUUUUUUGAUAGAAGCGCAAGAGUUUUGACGAGCACAUUAAGCCUCUACAAGUUGGUUAAUGCUGCACACUACUUGCAGUUGAGACCAUUGGGAUAAAAGAAACCUGUUCUGCUAUUGGCUAUUGUGCGAAAGAUUGAGGAUGAAUCUGCUGAGGAGAUAUGCCGUUUAUUUAAUUUUCUAGAUGUUUUGAUAGAGGUUGUAUUCUAGCCAAUACGCUUAAUCUCUAUAAUCGCUUAGGUUUACUAAGUUAAUUGGCACAGGCUGAAAAGUUGGAGCCUUGGAACAACGCACCUGAUGAUGUUUUAGUAUAGAGAAAGAUUAGCUUUAAACAUUUUUGUAUUAGUAGUUUACUAUGUCUAGACCUCGAAAAUCUCAUAAGACUUUAUGUAAAUUCUCAGUAUGAAUAUUCUGCAUCUUAGAAGCUUGUUUUGGAGAACAAGUUUAAAAUGUUUUUGGCAAAGAACUUGCAUUAAUAACAUGUCUUUGUAAGGUCAAAAGUUUUUUUUACAAGAUCAGUUCACUUUCAUUAAAAAAGCUU